CGACCUCAAAUCAGGUAGGACUACCCGCUGAACUUAAGCAUAUCAAUAAGCGGAGGAAAAGAAACUAACAAGGAUUCCCCUAGUAACUGCGAGUGAAGCGGGAAAAGCUCAAAUUUAAAAUCUGGCAGCCUCCGGUUGUCCGAGUUGUAGUCUGGAGAAGCGUUUUCUGUGCUGGACCGUGUACAAGUCCCUUGGAACAGGGCGUCAUAGAGGGUGAGAAUCC
rnacentral:rRNA from 1 species